rnacentral:rRNA from 1 species
CCCUUAGAUGUUCUGGGCCGCACGCGCGCUACACUGACGAAGUCAGCGAGCAUGUCCUACGCCGACAGGUGCGGGGAAUCUUGUCAAACUUCGUCGUGAUGGGGAUUGAUUAUUGAAAUUCUUGAUCAUCAACGAGGAAUUCCUAGUAAGCGCAAGUCAGCAGCUUGCGUUGAUUACGUCCCUGCCCUUUGUACACACCGCCCGUCGCUACUACCGAUUGAAUGGUUUAGUGAGAUCUUCGGAUUGGCGCCACUGCGGCUCAGCAAUGGGCCCGGUGGAUGCCGAAAAGUUGAUCAAACUUGAUCAUUUAGAGGAAGUAAAAGUCGUAACA